AAAUAUCUGUUUCGAUUUCAGAGACUAAAAUCGAGGGCCUUCUACUGAAAUUUGUUGCUUCAAAGCAUUUCACAAUGUUAAUUUCAUUGGUUUUACAUGCCGAAUCUACAUUUUUCAUGGGAAUGAAGUGAUCAAUGUGAUUGGCGCAUGACUAAGGAGGACUGGGUAUUGGUCUAAUUAUUCGGGGUUAUCAGUAGGACCUCCAAAAAAGCUUUGUAAAAAGCCACUAGUAAUUCAAGUUCAAUUCAACAGCUAUACAGUGUAAUCUAGCCUGGACAAACCACAGAGAGCAGGUGAUAGAGAAUUGGAG
rnacentral:misc_RNA from 1 species